rnacentral:misc_RNA from 1 species
UGGAUAUGUAAGCCUCCCGAGGAUCAUAUUAAAGCUUCUUUCAGAUAAUGAGACACAGGAAUUUGGUGAUUUCAAACCUACUAUACUGGGGAUGCUUGGAACAUAUGACUUUGAGAGGCGGAUUUUGGAUACCGCUAAAUCAUUGAUUGAAGAUGAUACAUAUUCCUCCUUGAGCUUACUGAAAAGAGGAGCUUCUCAUGGAUUUGCACCUCGGAACCUCCUAUGUUGCAUUUGUAACUGUCCCCUCACAAAAGAUUUCUCAGCUUCUAGCAUUCAAAUUUUUACUUGUGGUCAUGCAACACAUCAGCAAUGUGAACCUCAGGAAAGUGAAGCAUCAAUUAGGGGUAACUCAACAGGAUGUCCUAUUUGUAUGCCAAGAAAGAAUUCGGAGAAGUUGAGAAGUAAAUCUAUGCUUGUGGAGAAUGGAUUGGUGAAGUCUAUAUCAAAAUCUCAUCAAACAAAUGGUACGACUGGUCUAUAUCCACACGAGAAUGAUGGUUUUGACAACUCCUACGGACUUCAGUCUGUUUCAAGGUUUGACCUCCUCCUUAAUCUUCAAAAAACCCAUCAGUCUAUGCAACUAGAGAAUAUCCCUCAGUUGAGGCUUGCACCACCUGCUGUGUACCAUGAAAAGGUUAAGAAAAGAAAUAUUCCCUCGGCUGGAGAGAGCAGCAAUGGUCUGGCAAAACCGGAGAAACCAAGCAGGAGCAAGCAUCUCAGAGACGUAAAACUGAAGGGAUCGUCUUUAAGGUUCCCCCUUAAAACAAAUAUAUUUGGUAAAGAGAAGAACAUUAAGCUGUGACAGUAACACUUUCAAGCUGGAAGCGGCUAAUCCAAUCGUUAUUUUCCUGGUAUAUCUUCGCUACGUUGUACAUUAUAGCAGAAAUUGAAUCCGCGAGAGGGACGAAGUAUGGCUACUGCGCCUGUGGUUUAGAGAUUUAGGAUGUUUCUGCUCUGUACAUUUGUUAUCUGCUCCAUUUUAUAUAUGAAAUAUUUUCUUUUCAAUUAAAUAAAAAAAUAUAAGAAAGCAAUGUUCUGAUGUAGUGCUUAGAUGAGUAGUGAGUUAACAGAAAAUUACAAGCUUGUA